rnacentral:rRNA from 1 species
AUUGAACGCUGGCGGCAGGCCUAACACAUGCAAGUCGAGCGAGAGGCGGACGGGUGAGGUAUGUAUGGGGACUGCCCGAUAGAGGGGGAUAACUACUGGAAACGGUGGCUAAUAGCGUAUUCUAUCGGAUAACCUAUAUGGGAUUAGCUAGUAGGUGGGGUAAAGGCUCACCUAGGCGACGACCUCUAGUGGGUCUGAGAGGAUGAGCACCCACGAUGGGACUGGGACACGGCCCAGACUCCUACGGAGGCAGCAGUGGGGAAUAUUGCACAAUGGGCGCAAGCCUGAUGAAGCCAUGCCGCGUGUAUGAAGAAGGCCGUAGGGUUGUAAAGUACUUUCAGCGGGGAGGCGUUGCCCACAGAAGAAGCACCGGCUAACUCCGUGCCAGCAGCCGCGGUAAUGC